ACGACCUUACUUGAACAGGAUCUGUUCUAUAGGCUCGUACCGCUGCAUCCUUGACUAAUAAGGAGGCAAGCACUUAAGCUUGGUUGAUGACACAAGGCCUGUGGGCCAGAGCGUGAUUAACGGCCGGAUUUGCAGUAUCUAAUGCAUGAUCUAUGGCUGUAGAUGAUCGUUUCUGGUCAGCCUUAGCCUGGCUAGAGUGGCCCAUAGGUUGUCUGACAGGCU
rnacentral:snoRNA from 2 species